rnacentral:rRNA from 1 species
AAAGACCUUGCGUUAUUGGAGCGGCCGAUAUCUGAUUAGCUAGUUGGUGGGGUAAAGGCUCACCAAGGCGACGAUCAGUAGCUGGUCUGAGAGGAUGAUCAGCCACACUGGAACUGAGACACGGUCCAGACUCCUACGGGAGGCAGCAGUGGGGAAUUUUGGACAAUGGGCGCAAGCCUGAUCCAGCCAUUCCGCGUGAGUGAAGAAGGCCUUCGGGUUGUAAAGCUCUUUCGCAAGGGAAGAAACGAUACGAGCGAAUAACUCGUGUUAAUGACGGUACCUUGAUAAGAAGCACCGGCUAACUACGUGCCAGCAGCCGCGGUAAUACGUAGGGUGCGAGCGUUAAUCGGAAUUACUGGGCGUAAAGCGUGCGCAGGCGGUUUUGUAAGUCAGAUGUGAAAUCCCCGGGCUCAACCUGGGAACU